GACAGAGGCCUCGAGCGUUAGGCGGAAUCACUGGGCUUAAAGCGUGUGUAGGCGGGAGCGUAAGCUACCUUGUGAAAUCCCACGGCUCAACCGUGGAACGGCUGGGUAUACGUGCGCUUCUUGGGCCAACUAGGGGCAGCCGGAACAAGCGGUGGAGCGGAUGAAUGCGUAGAUAAUCGCUUGGAACGCCGAAGGUGAAAACAGGCUGCUGGGGUGCGCCGGACGCUGGAGAACACGAAAGCCAGGGGACGCAAACGGG
rnacentral:rRNA from 1 species